rnacentral:tRNA from 1 species
GGGCGCAUAGCUCAGCUGGUUAGAGCGCACGGUUCACAUCCGUGAGGUCAUAGGUUCGAGUCCUUUUGCGCCCA